ACGCUCGACACCUACGGGGGCAGCAGUAGGGAAUCUUCCACAAUGGACGCAAGUCUGAUGGAGCAACGCCGCGUGAGUGAAGAGGGUCUUCGGAUCGUAAAACUCUGUUGUUAGAGAAGAACACGAGUGAGAGUAACUGUUCAUUCGAUGACGGUAUCUAACCAGCAAGUCACGGCUAACUACGUCNCANNCGCCGGUAGUAUNGNGGCGNGNGAGAG
rnacentral:rRNA from 1 species